rnacentral:lncRNA from 1 species
AUUUAGCAUUACAUUGUAAUUGUAGUGAUAGGAAUGGAAACUGGAGGUUUCUAUCUAGGAGUUCCUAGGUAUAGAUUGCAUUGGGUAGGGAUUAAGUGAAGAGUUGUAAACGGGGGAGUUUAACUCUUAUGGAAACUGGAGGUUUCUAUCUAGGAGUUCCUAGGUAUAGAUUGCAUUGGGUAGGGAUUAAGUGAAGAGUUGUAAACGGGGG